GUAUUGGCUUUGGUAGCACAUAUACUAAAAUUGGAAAGAUACAGAGAAGAUUAGCAUGGCCCUUGUACAAGGAGGACACAUAAGUUGGCAAAUGUUCCAUAUUUUA